rnacentral:rRNA from 5 species
CCGUAGGUGAACCUGCGGAAGGAUCAUUC